rnacentral:rRNA from 1 species
GGCGUGCUUAACACAUGCAAGUCGAACGGAGCGAAUGAAAGCUUGCUUUUAUGAGCUUAGUGGCAAACGGGUGAGUAACACGUAGACAACCUGCCGACAGGAUGGGGACAACAUUCCGAAAGGAAUGCUAAUACCGAAUGAAGCGGAGGAGAGGCAUCUCUCUUCCGUGAAAGAUGGCCUCUGAACAUGCUAUCACCUGUCGAUGGGUCUGCGUCUGAUUAGCUGGUUGGUGAGGUAACGGCUCACCAAGGCGACGAUCAGUAGCCGGUCUGAGAGGAUGAACGGCCACGUUGGGACUGAGACACGGCCCAGACUCCUACGGGAGG